rnacentral:lncRNA from 1 species
AAAAAAAUCCCCAGCGAGAAAUACUUGACUGUCGUGGCCGCGCGGCCUGGAUUUUUCUUCCAGCACCAUGAGAUUUCAGACGGGUGUGCUUCUUGGUGUGCUAUGCCUGUAGAGGCUGAGCAUUAGGGAGCUGAGGCUGAGUCCUGGAGACCACACGCCUGUGAGCAGACCCAGCCCUGGACAGAGGCAGGAUGCGGCUCCUCAGCCCCGAUGCAGCAGUGCCCUGUGGAGGGAUCAUUUCUGGGGAACCAGGCUUUGGAUUCGGGGCUGCUUUCCAGCCCUAACAAUCUGCUCGGAUCUUGACCUCUCUGGCAGGACUGCCAGGAGGGAGAGGAUGCAGAGAGGAUGUUUGAAAAAGCAAAUGCUCGCCUUACAUGAACUCGGCAGUGACCCCCCAAUUCAGCCCCCAAAGCUUCUCUCUACUGGACAGCAACAGAACUUGUGCUAUAUUGGCAUUUCAGACCUAUGAACCACGUAUCAGCUGAAUUCUGCUGAGAGGAAACUGUAUAAAUGGAAGACAUGCAGGGCCAUUUCAACCACAGUACAUAAUUGAAGCCCCAGACCAUACUGAUUAUGGAAUUUAAACAGUAAACAGCCCACUGAUUUGCUGCCUUAAAUACGUAAUUUUUCAUCUCCAUCUUCCCCAGAUCCUGGAGAGGCUUUUAAGUUUAUCCUC